AGAACGAACGCUGGCGGCAGGCUUAACACAUGCAAGUCGAGCGCCCCGCAAGGGGAGCGGCAGACGGGUGAGUAACGCGUGGGAACAUACCCUCCGGUUCGGAAUAGCUCAGGGAAACUUGGAUUAAUACCGGAUACGGCCUAGCGGCGAAAGAUUCAUCGCCGGAGGAUUGGCCCGCGUCUGAUUAGCUAGUUGGUGGGGUAAUGGCCCACCAAGGCGACGAUCAGUAGCUGGUCUGAGAGGAUGAUCAGCCACAUUGGGACUGAGACACGGCCCAAACUCCUACGGGAGGCAGCAGUGGGGAAUAUUGGACAAUGGGCGCAAGCCUGAUCCAACCAUGCCGCGUGAGUGAUGACGGCCUUAGGGUUGUAAAGCUCUUUCGCUAGGGACGAUAAUGACGGUACCUAGACAAGAAGCCCCGGCUAACUUCGUGCCAGCAGCCGC
rnacentral:rRNA from 1 species